GAUGAACGCUGGCGGCGUGCCUAAUACAUGCAAGUCGAGCGAACGGACGAGAAGCUUGCUUCUCUGAUGUUAGCGGCGGACGGGUGAGUAACACGUGGAUAACCUACCUAUAAGGCUGGGAUAACUUCGGGAAACCGGAGCUAAUACCGGAUAAUAUUUUGAACCGCAUGGUUCAAAAGUGAAAGACGGUCUUGCUGUCACUUAUAGAUGGAUCCGCGCUGCAUUAGCUAGUUGGUAAGGUAACGGCUUACCAAGGCAACGAUGCAUAGCCGACCUGAGAGGGUGAUCGGCCACACUGGAACUGAGACACGGUCCAGACUCCUACGGGAGGCAGCAGUAGGGAAUCUUCCGCAAUGGGCGAAAGCCUGACGGAGCAACGCCGCGUGAGUGAUGAAGGUCUUCGGAUCGUAAAACUCUGUUAUUAGGGAAGAACAUAUGUGUAAGUAACUGUGCACAUCUUGACGGUACCUAAUCAGAAAGCCACGGCUAACUACGUGCCAGCAGCCGCGGUAAUACGUAGGUGGCAAGCGUUAUCCGGAAUUAUUGGGCGUAAAGCGCGCGUAGCGGUUUUUUAGUCUGAUGUGAAAGCCCACGGCUCAACCGUGGAGGGUCAUUGGAAACUGGAAAACUUGAGUGCAGAAGAGGAAAGUGGAAUUCCAUGUGUAGCGGUGAAAUGCGCAGAGAUAUGGAGGAACACCGGUGGCGAAGGCGACUUUCUGGUCUGUAACUGACGCUGAUGUGCGAAAGCGUGGGGAUCAAACAGGAUUAGAUACCCUGGUAGUCCACGCCGUAAACGAUGAGUGCUAAGUGUUAGGGGGUUUCCGCCCCUUAGUGCUGCAGCUAACGCAUUAAGCACUCCGCCUGGGGAGUACGACCGCAAGGUUGAAACUCAAAGGAAUUGACGGGGACCCGCACAAGCGGUGGAGCAUGUGGUUUAAUUCGAAGCAACGCGAAGAACCUUACCAAAUCUUGACAUCCUUUGACAACUCUAGAGAUAGAGCCUUCCCCUUCGGGGGACAAAGUGACAGGUGGUGCAUGGUUGUCGUCAGCUCGUGUCGUGAGAUGUUGGGUUAAGUCCCGCAACGAGCGCAACCCUUAAGCUUAGUUGCCAUCAUUAAGUUGGGCACUCUAAGUUGACUGCCGGUGACAAACCGGAGGAAGGUGGGGAUGACGUCAAAUCAUCAUGCCCCUUAUGAUUUGGGCUACACACGUGCUACAAUGGACAAUACAAAGGGCAGCGAAACCGCGAGGUCAAGCAAAUCCCAUAAAGUUGUUCUCAGUUCGGAUUGUAGUCUGCAACUCGACUACAUGAAGCUGGAAUCGCUAGUAAUCGUAGAUCAGCAUGCUACGGUGAAUACGUUCCCGGGUCU
rnacentral:rRNA from 1 species